UGGAUCCCUUGGCUGAUCCGCACAGAUUUCCUUUUUUGGGAUCUCUUUACUCCUUUGGGCAAUCUUUCUGGGUAAUGUCCCCUUCAAAAUGAUAGUAGCCUGGUCCCUCUCUUGAGACAAGCAAAAACUCACUCAUUCUUUCUUUUCCAUAGAAGGAAGGGCAGCAGCCUACCAGUGCAACUCUGAUUCUCUUUGCCACCCGAAGCCAAAACUUCAAGGAAAGCACAUUUUCUCCAGACCUUCUACGUCUGAAGUGAAUCAGAAGGCUUUCUGAAACAGGAGAGAGCCUGAGGAGUUGACAUUUUCAACCACUUCCCUGGAUGGUUCCCACGGAUAGGCAAG
rnacentral:lncRNA from 1 species